UACGGAGGGGGCAAGCGUUGUUCGGAAUCACUGGGCGUAAAGGGUGCGCAGGCGGGUUCAUAAGUCAGGGGUGAAAUCCCGAGGCUCAACCUCGGAAGUGCCUUUGAUACUGUGGAUCUUGAGUGCGGAAGAGGUGAGUGGAAUUCCGGGUGUAGAGGUGAAAUUCGUAGAUAUUCGAAAGAACACCGGUGGCGAAGGCGGCUCACUGGUCCGGAACUGACGCUGAGGCACGACAGCGUGGGGAGCAAACAGG
rnacentral:rRNA from 1 species